AGCGAACGCUGGCGGCAGGCUUAACACAUGCAAGUCGAGCGGGCAUCUUCGGAUGUCAGCGGCAGACGGGUGAGUAACACGUGGGAACGUACCCUUCGGUUCGGAACAACUCUGGGAAACUGGAGCUAAUACCGGAUACGCCCUUAUGGGGCAAGGUUUACUUGCAAAGGAUCGGCCCGCGUCGGAUUGGCUGGGUGGUUGUGUAACUGCCUACCAAGUCGACGAUCAGUAGCUGUUCUGAGAGUAUGAUCAGCUACACUGGGACUGAGGCACGGCCUAGACUCCUACGGGAGGGAGCGGUGGGGAGUAUUGGACAAUGAGCGCAAGUGUAGUCAAGCCGUGCCGGGUGAGUGAUGAAGGCCUUAGGAUUGUAAAGCUCUUUUGUCCGGGACGAUAGUGACGGUACCGGAAGAAUAAGCCCCGGCUAACUUCGUG
rnacentral:rRNA from 1 species